rnacentral:tRNA from 1 species
UUUAUAAUAGCUUAAUGGUUAAAGCAUUUCACUCAUAAUGAAAAGAUUCUAUGUUCAACUCAUAGUUAUGAUA